GAGAACUUUGUUUGUUCCUUACGAAAAUCGAACCAGAUAUCAAAUAUUUAGUCUUGCAGCAUCAGCCUCAAGGAUCUCAUUAAUCACUAGUAAAGGUAAAGUUAAAAACAUAAUAAACAUGCAUAAAGUAGAAAUAAAAAGAUAAAUGUACGUGCAUGUGGCAAACCUAGCCACUUGGACAUUAUUUAAGUACUAUCGCUUUAAGGGUUGCCUG